AAUCGAUACCAAUAGUUGCCUGAUUAUCAAUUAAAGACACAAAUAAGUUUGGAAGAUGAGAAACAAAUUAAGCAGUGAAAGAAACAGCAUCAUGUAAUGAAUUUUGUAAAGUAAAAUAGUACAAUUUAAAUGAAAUGACGUUCCGAUGAUCCAUAAGAGGUAUGUUAGUGUGAACAGAUGCCCAAAAAAGGCAGUGCAGGUCUAUGGCUUAUCACCAUGGCUUCCAAAAUGUUGCACUCAUGUUACUAAACCAUCAAUUAAACCCAAGAAUUUCAAACCCGGCCCAAUCAAUGAAGACACAAGGUUAAAGAUUUAAGGUUCAACAGGGAUUAAACUGAGGUUUAAAUGGAAUAAUAUUAAAUAAAUAUUAAAUAUAUCAUAAAAUUAAUAAUUUCUUUAAAAA
rnacentral:misc_RNA from 1 species